UUCUCAGGGGAUUUUUAGAUUUUGAAGCUUUCUCAAGAUAUCACCUAAGAAUCUUGCUAAAAAUAAAAUUUUAAAUAUUUAUUAUAAAUCAUGAUGAUAAAGUUGUAGAAAAUUAACUACUAACCAAUAAAUAACGAUAUUUUCGUGAAUAUGUUGUGGGAUUUUCAACAUCUCACUGAUAGUUGUUGAAGUCGUGUAUGGAUAACAUGUGUGGGUUUUGUUUGACCAAAUAUUCCAAUAGCAAAAAAUGAGUGGGUUGUAACUCCUAUUUAUUAGGAAUGAAGCAGAACAACCUGCUUUUGGAAUCCUUUGAGCCUUCCUACUUUUCCAAACAUGGACCAAACAUUUUUAGUUUAGUUUUAAUUUUAGCUAGUGGUAAGAGUCUUUACAAUGCUUAGGCUUAAAUCAGCCAAUGCCUGACACUAAAAUUUGAGUUUAGUUAUUUUUCCCCCCUAUUAUCUCAUAGAAGUCUUAGUUAUGGGAAGUUACAAGGGCUGAGAAUAAACUACCUUUAGAGUUAUGUUUUUGGGUUUAUUUUGUAGUAUAAAGGGUGUUUAGUCAGCCAUAUGGACUGGUUAGUUGUUACGGAGAAUAAAAUUGAUAUUUUUCCUUUAAGUAGAAAAGAAAACACAUGGUACAUUUGGGCAUUUUAGAGGGUUUAAAGCUAUUUCUCCUUUGUUUUGAAGAUAUUCUCUCAUCGGUGUAUUUUUUGAAUCUCAUAUGAUCUAGACUCACUAUCAAGAAGUUAAUUUUUAACUGCUAGAAACUGUUCAAUAGUUGCUGGAUAUUGUUCAUAAUUUUGGAGCUGGAACUUUCUUUCAAAUUUAGUUUUUAAUCACUGAAUAAACAUCUUGUGUUAGAAUUGUUGUGGCCUAUUUUUAAUCACUGUUUGGAAUUUAAGAUGCAACUGAUUGGGUCCUUCUAAACUUGGAUCAGUCCUAUCUUUUAUCUAUCCUUCCUAGACCUAACAUUUGUUUCAGUUCAUCCGAAUCAAGUCCCGAAAUGAUGCCAUAGCUGCAGUUGCAGUUGCAAGUGAUAGAUGGCAUAUGAGAAGUAACUAUCUUCAAGUUUAAAAUAGCCAUUUCAACCAUAUACAACAUAACUCGAUCAACCCCGCUAGCUUACAUACCACUAGAUUCCCAUUUGUUAAACCUAAUACUUUAAUACUUAUAAUCCAUGGUUCAACAUUUUUGGUAAAACCUUAUAAUUAACAAUCAAUCAUUUUGUUUUUCAAGUACGAAAGUUGAUUAGUAUAUUAGUAUUAUAGAACUUCUGAUUAAUCAUGUAAUAGAAUCAUUUGGUGGGUGCUUCCAAGUUCCAUACAAUGCUGAUUAUGAUGGGGAUGAAAUGAACAUGCAUGCUUCGUAGUCAUUUGAAACAUGCACCUUCCUUAGUUAUGCAAAAAUUUACAUAGGCUAAAGGCAAUGAUAGACUAAACAUUGUAGGUGACUAGGAUUGUGUGAUGCAUCUUGUUGGUAUGUACAUAUUUUUCUAUUGUGAUAGUGGAAUGCUAAAUUGUUGUUUUAACAUCAUUAGAGUUAUGAAACAUUGGAUUAACUUGUCUUUUUCUAAUCUCUGGUAGCAUUUGUGAGUUCUGUGAUCCACUGAAUGGUUGUGCAAAACCUAACUGCUGCUUUAAAUGUGCCAAUUUGGAAUGAUAACCUGAAGGUUACUUUCUUUGAUAAUGAUGAGCUUGACUACAAAACUAGUUUGCAUAGAACCUGAGAUUGGGAAUGGUUUGCUUGGUACAGAGUAAAGAGAAUUGACUGAAAGUGGUGCAACAAACUAUACUUUAGGUCGGAUAAGAUAUGACCCAGCUCUUUGCCGAAUCUUUUCCCAAACUCUAUUAUCCAUUUGGACUUGGAUUUCUAAGUUUAUAUAAUCUUUAGUACUAUGCUGAAUAUGUUGUAGAGUGAUGUAAGAUAUGACCAAGCUCUUUGCCUAAUCUUUUCCCAAACUCUAUUAUCCAUUUAGACUUGGAUUUCUUAGUUUAUAUAAUCUUUCGUACUAUGCUGAAUAUGUCGUAGAGUGAUGUACCAUGAUUGGUUCCAGUUUGACCUGAAGGAAGGCCUCACUUUCCUCAGAGAUCAGGGAAGAAGGUUCCUGGAUGCCGGAAAUUGUUGCUUCUUGUCUUGGUUUUUUGCCGCUCAGUCAAUAGAGUUUUCCUUGUAGUUGGUAAGGUGUCUUGUUGUGGCCAUGCCUAGUCCUGUAUUUAGCAUGCUCUUUUUUGUAAUUUCCAGUUGAUCAUGCAGUCUAUAGGAUAGGUAAGGCACUUAUGUUGUUGUAAUUUCCAAGGAUUGAACCCUCGAUCACUCACACACACAACAUUUAUCUCUUCCAGCUCAUCUGAUGAGCUGUAGGCAUCCAAUGUUACUUCCAAUAUUCUCAACCAGGUGGUUAUUUUCGAGGCUGAGCAUACAUACACAGGGCUAUAAAUCAGUUGAUGAUGGUAGAUAAUUUAGCUAGUGAUGUGUGUUUCAUAAUCCUUCUAUUUCGUCUUGCACUAUAUUGAAAAAUUACUUGUAUCUAGCAGCUCAUAUUUUUCUAGUCAAUGUUAUACUGCAAAGUAAAUUAGGAAACGUGACCCGAGGCUUUGCUAAGUAUAAAAGGGUUUUUAAUUCUGACAAGUGGAGCAUUUUGGUUCAGUAAUCCAUAAUCUAGAUAAAUGGUCUUUUGCAUCCCACCACGGAUGGACCAUGCCCAACAAUAGGAAGGAACCGAAUCAACAUGAAUUGUCAGAAUGGAUUCAAUUUUUUUACACGAUUCCCCUUUGUAGCUCUGCUUGUGGAGCUCCUUUAUCUUUUAUCAAUGCAGGGCUGUAAAUUUCUUUCUGAGGGCUGGUUGCCAAAGUUUACAGUCAUUGUGGCUCAAAAAACUUCAAGAAAAGGUGGGUGCUUGAUCAGAAGGGUCAGUUUUUCUUUUGAUUUUUUCUUUUUCCUUUUUUUGACAUAAGAUGAGCUGGUGGAGACUAGUUUGUAUGAGCGAUCCAGGGUUUAUGUUGGGCAAAUUGAGUGGGUACCCUUAUAAGCAGUAUGAAUGACAUGGGUUUUUUCUUUUAUAAUAUUAAUUUUCCAUUACAGCUCUAGUUCUCACUCUGAUUGAGAACUUCAUUUUCAUGCAGGAAAAAGCCAUGACAGUUGCUGUAUUUUCAUGCAGGAAAAGGCCAAUGGCAGUUGCUGAAUUUGUUUUAUUUUAGGUGGUUAUGAUAUGGAAGACAAAGCUGCUCUCAAGCAUUCAGCACCAACUCAUAUUAACUUCCCGUUGGAUAACUAUUGCGAAGAACUUGAGGAAAUGAAGAACACAAGUCCUUCAUUGAUGCAGAAAGACUUCGUGUACAAAUUAUAAGGAAAAUUGAUUCAUAUAGUGUGCAGUCAACCAUAUACCCUAUGGUUGUAGAUGGUUGGCACUCAUGUGGCCAUGUGUAGUAUUGCGUGUAGGCUUAGAAAAACUCUUAUGAUUAUUAUUCAUUACACAAACUGACAAUGGCUUGCUAUGAAUUUACUCUUGUGCUAAUCCGAAAGUUCGGGCUAGUUCUUUUGAUGUUAUUUAUUCAGUUUUGAAGUCUGGAAUCUAUGAAAUUUGGGUUUUUUGUGGAAAUAUUCCAUUAAAUGGUGGUAUUCCGUAUGCACUUGAGGCAUUUCCAGGUAAUUCCCUUUUCCAUUGCUUGAAAUGUUUGGUCCUUUUGAUGCUUUGGCUAUUGUUUAAACUGGGUUGAAUUGGACCAUUAUUCUUGAUUUGGGAUCAAGAAAAAUGCAACCCUCUUCAGUUUUUCAAUCUUAGGAAAUUAAGAAGGCAUGAAUUGCAAGCUAAAUAAUAAGUUUGGAUUUUCUAACUGUUAAACUUGGCAAUGAUAUUGUGUGAGCUAGUGGGUUCAUUCGUCAAAUGGCAGGAUGUGCUUUUGUCGGCAAUGGGAGUGAAGAAAAGAAAUCUCUCCAAGGAAAGCACUCCAGGUGAAGCCGUGAAGAAGCCAAAGGAAAAGUGUUGGUAAAAACCACAAGGUGAAUGGCCUGAAACCUGUAUGCUUUCACUCAAUUAUUCCAUCUCUCUCAAUAAGCUAAUGUUCUGUACUGUUGUAGCAUAUGACAAAUACAUGCUUGUGAGCACCAACCCGAAAACGCCAGACUCAAGCACCCUGCCAAUGUGGCACACAAGUGUGAAAUCUGGGCUUUCCACAAGUCAGGUGGCAAAUCCCAUGGGAAGUUUUGCAUAUCCCAAAAAUCAGGUUGGCAUGCUCAUCAGCUGGGGCACAUGUAUAUUGAAAAUAUGCGGCCCACCUGAAGGGUGGUGGACAAGCCUGUAUGUUGGGUCGAACACCUUCGCUGCUGGACUUAGCUCUCCCACACAAACACCAUGUUGGCACGGGUGUUGCACUAUUGUUUGUCUGCUGGUAGUGU